rnacentral:rRNA from 1 species
GAUGAACGCUGGCGGCGUGCCUAAUACAUGCAAGUCGAGCGAACGGACGAGAAGCUUGCUUCUCUGAUGUUAGCGGCGGACGGGUGAGUAACACGUGGAUAACCUACCUAUAAGACUGGGAUAACUUCGGGAAACCGGAGCUAAUACCGGAUAAUAUUUUGAACCGCAUGGUUCAAAAGUGAAAGACGGUCUUGCUGUCACUUAUAGAUGGACCCGCGCUGCAUUAGCUAGUUGGUAAGGUAACGGCUUACCAAGGCAACGAUGCAUAGCCGACCUGAGAGGGUGAUCGGCCACCCUGGAACUGAGACACGGUCCAGACUCCUACGGGAGGCAGCAGUAGGGAAUCUUCCGCAAUGGGCGAAAGCCUGACGGAGCAACGCCGCGUGAGUGAUGAAGGUCUUCGGAUCGUAAAACUCUGUUAUUAGGGAAGAACAUAUGUGUAAGUAACUGUGCACAUCUUGACGGUACCUAAUCAGAAAGCCACGGCUAACUACGUG